rnacentral:pre_miRNA from 9 species
UUUCGAUAGCGCAAAAGUUAACUCAAAUUCGUAUGGAGUUGGAUUGUCUGCGUUUGCCGCUAGUUUGCGCUGUUCCAACUGCAUACAAAUUUGAGUUAACUUUUACGCUAUCGA